rnacentral:rRNA from 1 species
AUUGAACGCUGGCGGCAUGCCUUACACAUGCAAGUCGAACGGCAGCACGGGAGCAAUCCUGGUGGCGAGUGGCGAACGGGUGAGUAAAGUAUCGGAACGUGCCCAGUCGUGGGGGAUAACGUAGCGAAAGUUACGCUAAUACCGCAUACGAUCUAUGGAUGAAGGCGGGGGAUCGCAAGACCUUGCGCGAUUGGAGCGGCCGAUAUCAGAUUAGGUAGUUGGUGGGGUAAAGGCUCACCAAGGCGACGAUCUGUAGCUGGUCUGAGAGGACGACCAGCCACACUGGGACUGAGACACGGCCCAGACUCCUACGGGAGGCAGCAGUGGGGAAUUUUGGACAAUGGGCGCAAGCCUGAUCCAGCCAUGCCGCGUGCGGGAAGAAGGCCUUCGGGUUGUAAACCGCUUUUGUCAGGGAAGAAACGGCUCCUACUAAUACUGGGGGCUAAUGACGGUACCUGAAGAAUAAGCACCGGCUAACUACGUGCCAGCCGCCGCAGUAA